GAAGAGAAAGUUCUAUUCUUGGGACGAAUGUUUGAACUUGAGAGAAGUUAAGUCUCUGAAGAAACUUAAUCAUGCCAAUGUGAUUAAACUGAAAGAUGUUAUCAGAGAAAAUGACCAUCUUUAUUUUAUAUUUGAAUAUAUAAAAGAAAACCUCUAUCAAUUAAUGAAAGACAGAGUGCUGACAACAUCCUAGUGACUUCUGAGCAACCGAGAUGCGAGCUGCGAAGGGUUGAAAGCUUCAUCCUUGGCCCGGACUUGGAGUUGAGGACAGUGGGCCAGGCUGGGCGGGUUGGGG